GAUGAACGCUGGCGGCGUGCUUAACACAUGCAAGUCGAACGGAAAGGCCACAGCUUGCUGUGGUACUCGAGUGGCGAACGGGUGAGUAACACGUGGGUGAUCUGCCCUGUACUUCGGGAUAAGCUUGGGAAACUGGGUCUAAUACCGGAUAGGAAUCACAUGUGGGUGUGUGGUUGGAAAGCUUUUGCGGUAUGGGAUGAGCUCGCGGCCUAUCAGCUUGUUGGUGGGGUAAUGGCCUACCAAGGCGUCGACGGGUAGCCGGCCUGAGAGGGUGUACGGCCCCCUUUGGGCUGUGAUACCGGCCCGAAUCCCUCCGGGGGGACGCGUGGGGGAUAUUUCCCAAAUGGGGCAAGGCCGAUGUCGCGCCCCCCCGUUGGGGAUGACGGCCUUCGGGUUGUAAACUCCUUUCGUCAGGGACGAAGCGAAAGUGACGGUACCUGGAUAAGAAGCACCGGCUAACUACGUG
rnacentral:rRNA from 1 species